CCUACGGGAGGCAGCAGUGGGGAAUAUUGGGCAAUGGAGGAAACUCUGACCCAGCGACGCCGCGUGCGGGAUGAAGGCCUUCGGGUUGUAAACCGCUUUCAGUAGGGAAGAAGCGAAAGUGACGGUACCUACAGAAGAAGCACCGGCUAACUAUGUGCCAGCAGCCGCGGUAAUACAUAGGGUGCAAGCGUUGUCCGGAAUUAUUGGGCGUAAAGAGCUCGUAGGUGGUUCGUCACGUCGGAUGUGAAAAUCUGGGGCUCAACCCCAGACCUGCAUUCGAUACGGGCGAUCUAGAGUGUGGUAGGGGAGACUGGAAUUCCUGGUGUAGCGGUGGAAUGCGCAGAUAUCAGGAGGAACACCAAUGGCGAAGGCAGGUCUCUGGGCCAUUACUGACACUGAGGAGCGAAAGCGUGGGGAGCGAACAGGAUUAGAUACCCUGGUAGUCCACGCCGUAAACGGUGGGCACUAGUUGUGGGAACCUUCCACGGUUUCUGCGACGCAGCUAACGCAUUAAGUGCCCCGCCUGGGGAGUACGAUCGCAAGAUUAAACNCAAUGAAUUGACGG
rnacentral:rRNA from 1 species